rnacentral:rRNA from 1 species
AGCGAACGUUUGCGGCGGGCCUAACACAUGCAAGUCGAACGCACUAGCAAUAGUGAGUGGCGCACGGGUGCGUAACACGUGGGUAAUCAACCCUUCAGCCUGGGAUAACGACUCGAAAGGGUCGCUAAUACCGGAUACGGCGCGAGAGGCUUCGGCUUCUCACGAGAAAGCCACGCAAGGGGCACUGAAGGACGAGCCUGCGGCCCAUCAGCUAGUUGGUGAGGUAAGAGCUCACCAAGGCUAAGACGGGUAGCUGGUCUGAGAGGAUGAUCAGCCACACUGGAACUGAGACACGGUCCAGACUCCUACGGGAGGCAGCAGUGGGGAAUAUUGCGCAAUGGGCGAAAGCCUGACGCAGCCACGCCGCGUGAGCGAUGAAGGCCUCGGUCGUAAGACUCUGUGGGAGGAGACGAAGAAAGACCUGUGAGAGCAGGCCUUGACGGUAGUCUCCUUAGUC